ACAUGUGAAAAUUAUACUGAGAUGUUAUCUUUUAAUCUCUUUCACGUUCUUCACAGCAGAGAAAACCACUUCCAAGUUCUAAGUUCCAAGUUCCAUGGCAUUCGCAUCUCCUUCCUCUGCACUUCAUCUUCUUCCUCGAUCUCAAUCGCAAUCUGAAUCAUUCUUCAGAUUUGGAUUCUCCUCUCAAUUUUGAUCUGAAUCAUGCAUAUGUAAUUUCUCGCCUCUGGUUCAUCCUUUCGUCGCCUACACUGUCGUUGUGUCGUUCUCUUCUCGCCUGUGCCAUCGUCUUCUCCGCAGUCGUCUUCUCGCCGGUUCCAUCGUUGCUCAUCCCACGACUUGCUGUCCGAUGCCAACUGACCAGAAGCAACUAUUUCUUGCAAGUGUAACAUAAUAAAGGAGCAGAACAAGCUUAAGCUCUACAAGGUCGAACUAAAUUAUGUUCGCCACAUGGUCAAAGAUGUGUCCUGUCCUGCUAAGAACCUUGAUCUCAGACUAAUGCUAUGCACCAAAAGAAUUAUAGCAGCUCCAAAAGUAGGUGUCGUUUUUAUUCACUUCUAAAGAUUACAUCGCGCCAAUGUUUUCGUGUAGAGAUUUUGGUUAUAUAGUUUUCACAAUCCUUCUGUUUACUUUAUUUUUAUUACAUGUCAAAUUGAAUUGCUAAAGCAUAGUUUUUAUCCAUUUCUUAAAUAGAAAAAAAGAACAUAGACAAUGCAAUUGAACUUACUGUAUGUGCUCCUAUCCCAGGAUGAUGAAAUUUAAUGCAUUUAAAAGUUGAUUGAUUCUGUAGUUCUAGAUGAAACAAAGUCAUGUAAAUAAUGCAAAAAAAUUAAGGAAAUGAAACCAUUUUGCUACAAACAAGCUGCCAUCAGAGAGAAAAUGACUAUAAUUUUUAAGAGCUAUUCUUUAAGAAUUAUUCUUUCCUAAUAAAGACAUGAUGGACUUUAAUUUCUUCACCACAUGUGGUAAAUACGCCAUUCAGUUCACAACAUAUUCUCUUUCUUCAAAUAUCUUGGCUGCUUCGUUGUUCAUAAUAUAUAUCACUUUAACAUUUUUGUAUGAAUUGAAGAGUGUGCUCAUGAGUUACAAAAGAAAGAAAUAGAAGGUUUAAGAUCUUAAUUUCUUUUUACGAGUUUAAAAUAAACAACAGAAAUUUAAAAAUUUUGUUAUAUACUUUUAUAAUUUUAUCAUUUACCAAAAUAUUUUAGAUAAAUGGUAAAUAAUAAUAAAUAGGAAUAUAGUAAUUUAUUGGAAUAAAGAGGUAAUUAAUUUAUCAAUUGUUCCCUAUUAUUCACUUUGAUACUCUGCAUUCUACAAUGUUUGAGUGAUCAAUUCAUCAAGCAUGUGCUGUGCACUCACCUUACCUCAUCUUCACAACUCUACACUUAAAAUCAAAAUCAUUCAUUCCCUGUUUGCAGCUUCUUGUAACUAAUAAAAAUUAUUACUACAUCCAGAUUAAUUGAUAAAUUUAUUAUCUAAUAUUUGCUCAACCUAUUUAAUUUUGGUUACUCCUUUCAAUUUUUGCCACAUAAGUUUCAGAUUUUACACAGAUUCUAUUUCUGAAUUACCAAGUCCAGAGAGAGAUGGACUGACGAAGAACACGACAAGUUUUAGUUUCUCAAAAUACGCUGAGUUUGGCUAUGCAUUGGCUCUUAAGUUCACAAUGAUUCUUCAACACACACACACAUGCACAGAUUGGGAUCAACACACUCUAAGAAAUGGACCAGCUUUAGCACCCCAAGCUAAUGAUAAUGAUAGACCAGCAACUAAGAGAAAAGGGGUCUGACAAAGGGUCAUUCAAAUUUCAGUGGGCUUUAUGAUAUUCUUCUCAAUGUUAGAUGAGUAGUAAACUGUGGGGCAACAUUAGUCUUAACUAAAUUUACUUUGACAGUUUAUUUCAUGAUUUUUUCUUAAAAAGCACAAUAUACCUCUUCAGAAAAAUUUGGAGCUUUCUUUCCAUCAAUACCCUUACCUAUUUUUUCAGCUGCACACUGCAUUCUAUUUGGUCUUGUAGGUGAGUAUAAGCUACAACCGUUUAAUUCAUUUCACCUUCAAUUUCAUUGGAGCCUAUCUAUGCUUCAAUCGUCUAUAUAUCUUUUGAUGACAAUUGCUCUUUGCAUGUUUCAGCUUCUGUGGGACUAUCAUUUCUGCAGUUCACUAACAUGAACUCAUUGAGGAACAUCCAAACAUUGUAGUAACUAUUAUAAGAGAAGUAAUUCUUUGUUGUUAAGUGCUUUUUCAGGUGUUACUUGCAUCAAAUGUGGGAACUCGAUGAACAAAGAACUGAAGAUAAUGGUGAAUGAUUCCAGUAGUGAAGUUACUCAUCAUCAUGAGGAUGGAGCAUUUGUUAAAGGAGAAGCCAUGUACUUGAUUUUUGAUGAUUUGAAAGUGCUUUAAAGCUCUCCUAGAAUCUUUGUGAAGGAACUUGUCCAGCUUGGCUACAAAGAUUUCAACAAUUUGACAAAAAUUUAUCAAAAAUGUUGGUUUGAAGGAGGCAUUGCUUAACAAGUGGUCACCAAGAUCCUAUCUAUGUCUGAGAUUGUCACAUAAAGUCAGUGACUCAACAUCUUUUAUGUCGCAUAAAGCUCUGCACAUGAAAAUGGGUCUACAUAGAGGGAAGCAAGUUCUGUUCUUGUCGAGUCUUCAAGUUUUCAUUAAUUUUUUUCAUCGUUUUAUUUUGUGAUUUGUAUGUUGAUAUUGAAUGAGGAGUGAACCAAGACAUGUUUGAUAAAUACAUUUUUCUAGGAUUAGUAUAAUAACCAAGUUUUUUAUGUACUAUGUAUCACUUUUUUUUUUCUUUUUUAUAUGGAAUGUUCAUAGAGUUUAAGUGGUAUAAGUAUUUUUUUUCUUUUCUCA